rnacentral:rRNA from 2 species
UCCUACGGGAGGCAGCAGUGGGGAAUAUUGCACAAUGGGCGAAAGCCUGAUGCAGCUAUACCGCGUGUAUGAAGAAGGCCUUAGGGUUGUAAAGUACUUUCGUUGGGGAGGAAAAAUAAAUAGAUAAUACCUGUUUAUCGUGACGUUACCCAAAAAAGAAGCACCGGCUAACUCCGUGCCAGCAGCCGCGGUAAUACGGAGGGUGCGAGCGUUAAUCAGAAUUACUGGGCGUAAAGAGCUCGUAGGCGGUUGUUUAAGUCAGAUGUGAAAUCCCUGGGCUUAACCUAGGAACUGCAUUUGAAACUAAAAGACUAGAGUAUCGUAGAGGGAGGUAGAAUUCUAGGUGUAGCGGUGAAAUGCGUAGAUAUCUGGAGGAAUACCUGUGGCGAAAGCGGCCUCCUAAACGAAUACUGACGCUGAGGUGCGAAAGCAUGGGGAGCAAACAGGAUUAGAUACCCUGGUAGUCCAUGCCGUAAACGAUGUCGACUUGGAGGUUGUUUCCUUGAGAAGUGACUUCCGAAGCUAACGCGUUAAGUCGACCGCCUGGGGAGUACGGUCGCAAGGCUAAAACUCAAAUGAAUUGACGGGGGCCCGCACAAGCGGUGGAGCAUGUGGUUUAAUUCGAUGCAACGCGAAAAACCUUACCUGGUCUUGACAUCCACAGAAUUUUUCAGAGAUGAAAAAGUGCCUUAGGGAACUGUGAGACAGGUGCUGCAUGGCUGUCGUCAGCUCGUGUUGUGAAAUGUUGGGUUAAGUCCCGCAACGAGCGCAACCCUUAUCCUCUGUUGCCAUUGGUUCGGCCAGGAACUCAGAGGAGACUGCCGGUUAUAAACCGGAGGAAGGCGGGGACGACGUCAAGUCAUCAUGGCCCUUACGACCAGGGCUACACACGUGCUACAAUGGUGUAUACAAAGAGAAGCAACUCUGCAAAGACAAGCAAACCUCAUAAAGUACAUCGUAGUCCGGACUGGAGUCUGCAACUCGACUCCACAAUCUGGGAAAAU